rnacentral:lncRNA from 1 species
AGUAAUACAGGCAAAGAGUAAUACAGACAGGGAAGAGUAAUACAGACAGGGAAUAGUAAUACAGGCGAAGAGUAAUACAGACGGGGAAGAGUAAUACAGACGGGGAAGAGUAAUACAGACAGGCGAAGAGUAAUACAGACAGGCGAAGUGUAAUACAGACAGGCAAAGAGUAGUACAGACAGGGAAGAGUAAUACAGAGAGGCGAAGAGUAAUACAGACAGGGAAGAGUAAUACAGACAGGCGAGUAAUACAGACAGGGAAGAGUAAUACAGACAGGCGAAGAGUAAUACGGGGAAGACUAAUACAGACAGGGAAGAGUGAUACAGACAGGGAAGACUAAUACUGACAGGGGAAGAGUAAUACAGACAGGGGAAGAGUAAUACUGACGGGGAAGAGUAAUACAAGCGAAGAGUAAUACUGACGGGAAGAGUAAUACUGACAGGGGAAGAGUAAUACAGGAAAGAGUAAUACAGACAGGCGAAGAGUAAUACAGACAGGCGAAGAGUAAUANNNNNNNNNNNNNNNNNNNNNNNNNNNNNGAAGAGUAAUACAGACAGGGGAAGAGUAAUACUGAUAGGGGAAGAGUAAUACUGACAGGGAAGAGUAAUACAGACAGGCGAAGAGUAAUACAGACAGCUUUGUGGAUAUAAAUUCAACAACUUGGAUGAAAUAGACCAGUUC